rnacentral:rRNA from 1 species
UCUCAAAGCUUAAGCCAUGCAAGUGUAAGUUCACGCCACGCAUAAGAACGGGCGAAACCGCGAAUGGCUCAGGAACCGGACCUAAUCCUCGGGACCGUAAUCCUCCUCGGAGGCGAUGGAUAACUGUGGCAAUUCUAGAGCUAAUACAUGUGACACAGGCCGCGAUCGGUCGUCGCGCCGUGGUCGCCUCGCCUUCUUGCGCGCUGGCACCCGCGACGGCCGUCUUGGGUCGCGGCGCUACAUAUUAGACUGAGACCGAUGCGCGUUAAUCCGUCCUCCCGUCGCGGUCUCUCCUCACGGGGUUUUCGCUUCGGGRCCAAAGGGCGGCGCGCUCCGCUUUGGUGACUCUGGAUAACUCACUGGUCGAUCGCACGGGCUUCACGCCCGGCGACGGGUCUCUCGAGGGUCCGCCCUAUCAACUGUCGACGGUCGGUUAAGUGCCUACCGUGGUUACUACGGGUAACGGGGAAUCGGGGUUCGAUUCCGGAGAGGGAGCAUGCGAAACGGCUACCACAUCCAAGGAAGGCAGCAGGCGCGCAAAUUACCCACUCCCGGCACGGGGAGGUAGUGACGAAAAAUAACGACGCGGGACUCUGUCGAGGCCCCGCGAUCGGAAUGAGUACACUUCAAAUCCGUUAACGAGGACCAACCGGAGGGCAAGUCUGGUGCCAGCAGCCGCGGUAAUUCCAGCUCCGGUAGCGUAUAUUAAAGUUGUUGCGGUUAAAAAGCUCGUAGUCCGAAUUCGGGUUCGUGGUCGCUCACGCGGCCCCGGGGCGGCGGCGCCAUCGUCCAUCGUUGACUUUGGUCGUCCGUUCGCAUUCCCGGCCCUUUCCGCCGGUGUCAACCGCUGUAUUGAUGGGGUCUGUCUGCUUGGUUGUCGGCGGUCAUGCGGGGUCCUAGAUUGGUUCGCAGGAAUGUCGUCGUUUGCGCUCCGUUGGCCGCAUCCCGUCCGCGGGUUUGUGGUCGCGGUCGCGGGCGUGAUGUCCCCCGCGGCUGAUCGAAGCUUCGUUACGUCCUUCGAAGCGCUCUCCCUGUCGGCGGUUUCUCCUCCAAGGGUGCUCUUAAUCGAGUGUCCGCGGCGGCCGGUACGUUCACUUUGAAAAAAUUAGAGUGCUCAGAGCGGGCUGUUCAAGCUUGCAUACGAUAAGCAUGGAAUGAUGGAAGAGGGCCUCGUCUACGUCUGUCGGUCUCCGUCUACGGCGAGGCAAUGAUCGAAGGGAGCGGUCGGGGCCACUCGUAUUGCGACGUUAGAGGUGAAAUUCUUGGAUCGUCGCAAGACGAACUGCAGCGAUGGCGUGUGGCAAGCACGUUUUCCUCGAUCAAGAGCGAAAGUCGGAGGUUCGAAGACGAUCAGAUACCGUCGUAGUUCCGACCGUAAACGAUGCCGACCGGCGAUCCGCCGGCGUUCGCUUCCAUGACCCGGCGGGUAGCCUGCGGGAAACCAGAGUUCGGUUCCGGGGGGAGUAUGGUUGCAAAGCUGAAACUUAAAGGAAUUGACGGAAGGGCACCACCAGGAGUGGAGCCUGCGGCUUAAUUUGACUCAACACGGGAAAACUCACCCGGUCCGGACACCGGUAGGAUUGACAGAUCGAUAGCUCUUUCUCGAUUCGGUGGGUGGUGGUGCAUGGCCGUUCUUAGUUGGUGGAGCGAUCCGUCUGGUUGAUUCCGAUAACGAACGAGACUCCGGCCUGCUAACUAGUGCGCCGAUGUAAGUGCGGCGUCUUCGACGUCGUGUGCGGGCUCGGAAGUCGGUUUUUUAAGCCUUCUCUUCGGGUCCGGGUCGGUUUCUCACGCACUUCUUAGAGGGACGGGUGGCAGAAAGCCACACGAGGCGGAGCGAUAACAGGUCUGUGAUGCCCUUAGAUGUCCGGGGCCGCACGCGCGCUACACUGGAGGUAUCAGCGGGGACUUCGCCCCGGCCCGAGAGGGUCGGGAAACCUCUCAACCACCUCCCGUGAUAGGGAUCGGGGCCUGUAACCAACCCCGUGAACGAGGAAUUCCCGGUAGGCGCGGGUCAACAGCCCGCGUCGAUCACGUCCCUGCCCUUUGUACACACCGCCCGUCGCUACUACCGAUCGAACGGUCCGGUGAGGUCCUCGGAUCUGGCCGACGACGCCGCCGGGCAGGGCCUUCGGGUCACGCCUCGGCGUUCGAUGCCUGGAGAAGACGACCGAACCCGAUCGUUUAGAGGAAGUAAAAGUCGUAACAAGGUUUCCGUAGGUGAACCUGCGGAAGGAUCAUUA